GUUGACUCUGCUCACCAGCGUGUCCAGGAUGUGCACGCCGUCGUGCGUGUGCAGCAGGAUGAAGGACAGGAAGCUGUGCAGGAGGGCGGGGUCAGAGACGGAGCGCAGGAACAGAUCCAGGUUACUAUCUGUUUGUAAUGAAAGGCCGUAACAAAUGAACCCAGAGGGAGAUGAGGUGUCUCUCUCACCUUGUGCAGAGCAGGAGCCAGAACAGGAACCAGGAAGCCGUUGUAGAUAUAUCCCAACAGCUGAGAGCGGAUCGAGGGUCUGUGUGUGUGUGUGUGUGUGUGUGUGUGUGUG